rnacentral:rRNA from 1 species
GACGAACGCUGGCGGCGUGCUUAACACAUGCAAGUCGAACGGAAAGGCCCUGCUUUUGUGGGGUGCUCGAGUGGCGAACGGGUGAGUAACACGUGAGUAACCUGCCCUUGACUUUGGGAUAACUUCAGGAAACUGGGGCUAAUACCGGAUAGGAGCUCCUGCUGCAUGGUGGGGGUUGGAAAGUUUCGGCGGUUGGGGAUGGACUCGCGGCUUAUCAGCUUGUUGGUGGGGUAGUGGCUUACCAAGGCUUUGACGGGUAGCCGGCCUGAGAGGGUGACCGGCCACAUUGGGACUGAGAUACGGCCCAGACUCCUACGGGAGGAAGCAGUGGGGAAUAGUGCACAAUGGGCGGAAGCCUGAUGCAGCAACGCCGCGUGCGGGAUGACGGCCUUCGGGUUGUAAACCGCUUUCGCCUGUGACGAAGCGUGAGUGACGGUAAUGGGUAAAGAAGCACCGGCUAACUACGUG